GCAGUGAUGUUUUGGUGGUAGAAUCCUCACCUUAUAUGUGGGAGACCUGGGUUCAAUUUCCUGGCCAAUGCA
rnacentral:tRNA from 1 species